UACGGAGGAUGCAAGCGUUAUCCGGAUUUAUUGGGUUUAAAGGGUGCGUAGGCGGAUUAGUAAGUCAGUGGUGAAAUCCUGCAGCUUAACUGUAGAAUUGCCAUUGAUACUGUUAAUCUUGAGUGCGAUUGAAGUAGGCGGAAUGUGUAAUGUAGCGGUGAAAUGCUUAGAUAUUACACAGAACACCGAUUGCGUAGGCAGCUUACUAAGUCGUAACUGACGCUGAGGCACGAAAGCGUGGGGAUCGAACAGG
rnacentral:rRNA from 1 species